rnacentral:rRNA from 1 species
ACUGCUCAGUAACACGUAGUCAACAUGCCCAGGGGACGUGGAUAACCUCGGGAAACUGAGGAUAAACCGCGAUAGGCCAAGAUUUCUGGAAUGAAUCAUGGUUUAAAUCUAUAUGGCCCCUGGAUUGGACUGCGGCCGAUCAGGCUGUUGGUGAGGUAAUGGCCCACCAAACCUGUAACCGGUACGGGCUCUGAGAGGAGGAGCCCGGAGAUGGGCACUUAGACAAGGGCCCAGGCCCUAUGGGGCGCAGCAGGCGCGAAACCUCUGCAAUAAGCGAAAGCUUGACAGGGUUACUCUGAGUGAUUUCCGCUAAGGAAGUCUUUUGGCACCUCUAAAAAUGGUGCAGAAUAAGGGGUGGGCAAGUCUGGUGUCAGCCGCCGCGGUAAUACCAGCACCCCGAGUGGUCGGGACGAUUAUUGGGCCUAAAGCAUCCGUAGCCGGUCCUGCAAGUCCUCCGUUAAAUCCACCCGCUCAACGGUUGGGCCGCGGGGGAUACUACAGGGCUAGGAGGCGGGAGAGGCAAGCAGUACUCGAUGGGUAGGGGUAAAAUCCACUGAUCCAUUGAAGACCACCAGUGGCGAAGGCGGCUUGCCAGAACGCGCUCGACGGUGAGGGAUGAAAGCUGGGGGAGCAAACCGGAUUAGAUACCCGGGUAGUCCCAGCUGUAAACGAUGCAGACUCGGUGAUGGGCUGGCUUCGUGCCAACCCGGUGCCGCAGGGAAGCCGUUAAGUCUGCCGCCUGGGGAGUACGGUCGCAAGACUGAAACUUAAAGGAAUUGGCGGGGGAGCA